GACGAACGCUGGCGGCGUGCCUAAUACAUGCAAGUCGAACGCAGUGGGGACGGGUGAGUAACACGUGGGUAACCUCCCAUCAGAGGGGGUAACACUUGGAAACAGGUGCUAAACCGAUACUGAUUGAUGGACCCGCUGGGCAUUAGCUAGUUGGUGGGGUAACGGCUCACCAAGGCCACGAUGCAUAGGUGGUGUGAGAGGAGGACCAGUCAAACUGUAACGUAGACAAGGGCCAGAAGCAUACGGGAGGCAGCAGUGGGGAAUGUUGCACAAUGGGCGCAAGCCUGAUGCAGACAGGCCGCGUGUAUGAAGAAGGCCUUAGGGUUGUAAGACUUUCAGCGAGGAGGAACGUUACGCGCAGAAGAAGCACCGGCUAACUCCGUGCCAGCAGCCGCGGUAAUUA
rnacentral:rRNA from 1 species